GAUGAACGCUGGCGGCGUGCCUAAUACAUGCAAGUCGAACGAAACUUCUUUAUCACCGAGUGCUUGCACUCACCGAUAAAGAGUUGAGUGGCGAACGGGUGAGUAACACGUGGGCAACCUGCCCAAAAGAGGGGGAUAACACUUGGAAACAGGUGCUAAUACCGCAUAACCAUAGUUACCGCAUGGUAACUAUGUAAAAGGUGGCUAUACUACCGCUUUUGGAUGGGCCCGCGGCGCAUUAGCUAGUUGGUAGGGUAAAGGCUUACCAAGGCAAUGAUGCGUAGCCGAAUUGAGAGGUUGAUCGGCCACAUUGGGACUGAGACACGGCCCAAACUCCUACGGGAGGCAGCAGUAGGGAAUCUUCCACCAAGGGCGAAAGCCUGAUGGAGCAACGCCGCGUGGGUGAAGAAGGUCUUCGGAUCGUAAAACCCUGUUGUUAGAGAAGAAAGUGCGUGAGAGUAACUGUUCACGUUUCGACGGUAUCUAACCAGAAAGCCACGGCUAACUACGUG
rnacentral:rRNA from 1 species